AGGACGAACGCUGGCGGCGUGCUUAACACAUGCAAGUCGAACGGUGACCCAGGGCUUGCCCUGGUGAUCAGUGGCGAACGGGUGAGUAACACGUGGGCAACCUGCCCCAGACUCUGGGAUAACUCCGGGAAACCGGGGCUAAUACCGGAUACGAAUCGAGUUGGCAUCUUCUCGAUUGGAAAGUUUUUCGGUCUGGGAUGGGCCCGCGGCCUAUCAGCUUGUUGGUGGGGUAAUGGCCUACCAAGGCGACGACGGGUAGCCGGCCUGAGAGGGCGACCGGCCACACUGGGACUGAGACACGGCCCAGACUCCUACGGGAGGCAGCAGUGGGGAAUAUUGCGCAAUGGGCGAAAGCCUGACGCAGCGACGCCGCGUGAGGGACGACGGCCUUCGGGUUGUAAACCUCUUUCAGCAGGGAUGAAGCGAAAGUGACAGUACCUGCAGAAGAAGCACCGGCUAACUACGCGCCAGCGACGCCGC
rnacentral:rRNA from 1 species